CGGUGCGUCGAUUAGCAUGCGAGUAGAUGAAUUAGAUUCAUUGCAAACUGCUCAGUAACACGUGGAUAACCUGCCCUAUGCUCUGGGAUAACCUCGGGAAACUGAGAAUAAUACCGGAUAGAUCACAACGCCUGGAACGGUGUGUGGUUGAAAGGUUACGGCAUAGGAUGGGUCUGCGGCGUAUCAGGUCGUAGGGGGUGUAAUGGACCCCCUAGCCAUCGACGCGUACGGGUGUUGGGAGACAUAGCCCGGAGACGGAUUCUGAGACACGAAUCCGGACCCUACGGGGUGCAGCAGGCGCGAAAACUUCACACUGCAGGAAACUGUGAUGAGGGAACUCCAAGUGGAUGCACAUAGUGUAUCUCUUUUCUUUACUAUUAAUCGGUAUUGGAAUAAGGGCUGGGAAAGACCGGUGCCAGCCGCCGCGGUAAUACCGGCAGCUCGAGUGGUCGUCGCUUUUAUUGGGCCUAAAACGUCCGUAGCCGGUUUGGUAAAUCUGUGGGUAAAUCAACUAGCUUAACUAGUUGAAUUCUGCAGAGACUGCCAGACUAGGAACCGGGAGAGGUGUGGGGUACUCAAGGGGUAGGGGUAAAAUCCUGUCAUCCUUUGAGGACCACCAGUUGCGAAAGGCGCCACACUAGAACGGAUUCGACGGUCAGGACGAGCCUAUGGGCACGACCGGAUUAGAUACCCGGGUAGUUCUUAGUUGUUAACGCUGUGACUGCUGUCGCAGUUCGCAUUGGUCCUCGGUGACUGAGUGAAUAUGUUUAAGU
rnacentral:rRNA from 1 species